CUCAUGUAGAACCAUGACCGCAAUGGAAGGGGCGACCGGGUCGAGUUUUGGAAUAGACACGAUUUUAUCUAGCGCCAGUUCAGGCAGCCCCGGCGUGAUGAGCGGAGACUUCCGACCUCACGGCGAUGUCAGGACGGCGGAUUUUCGGAACCAGGCCACCCCGUCCCCUUGUUCGGAGAUCGAUACAGUGGGGACGGCGCCUUCUUCUCCCAUCUCCGUCACCCUGGAGCAUCCCGAGCCGCAUCUGGUCCAGGACGGCCUCCAGCCGCAUCACCUCGUCCAUCACAGCCAGCAGCCGUCCCCGCCACAAAGUUUGCUGCAGUCUCCCCAGCAGACGCCUCCGCAACAGCAGCAGACGCCUCCACAACAGCAGCAACAGCAGCUUGGAUCGGCCGCCUCGGCUCCCAGGACUUCCACAUCUUCUUUUUUAAUUAAAGACAUUUUGGGCGACAGCAAACCGCUGGCGGCCUGCGCACCUUACAGUACGAGCGUCUCGUCUCCCCAUCACACCCCGAAACAAGAAGGGAACGCAGCCAGCGAGAGCUUUAGGCCGAAACUAGAGCAGGAGGACGGCAAAACCAAACUCGACAAGCGCGACGACUCGCAAAACGAUCUCAAAUGCCACGGAACAAAGGAAGAAGGCGAUCGGGAGAUUACAAGUAGCAGGGAGAGUCCUCCCGUGCGGGCCAAGAAGCCUCGGAAGGCGAGGACGGCCUUCUCGGACCAUCAGCUCAACCAGCUAGAGAGGAGCUUUGAGCGUCAGAAGUACCUAAGCGUGCAGGACCGCAUGGAUCUAGCUGCCGCGCUCAACCUCACGGAUACCCAGGUCAAGACUUGGUACCAGAACCGGAGGACGAAGUGGAAGCGGCAGACGGCGGUGGGCCUAGAACUGCUGGCCGAAGCCGGGAACUAUUCCGCCUUGCAGAGGAUGUUCCCUUCGCCCUAUUUCUACCACCCGAGUCUGCUGGGCAGCAUGGACAGCACCACGGCGGCGGCGGCGGCGGCUGCCAUGUACAGCAGCAUGUACCGGACUCCCCCGGCGCCGCACCCCCAGCUCCAGCGGCCCUUGGUGCCCCGGGUCCUCAUCCACGGGCUGGGGUCCGGGGGGCAGCCCCCUCUCAAUCCUCUGGCCAACCCUCUCCCGGGCACCCCGCAUCCCCGGUGAAGAGCGUAUCGCUGCCCCUGCUCCCCCCAUCAAUCCCCCUGGCCCCCUUCACCACCGCCUGCUCAUCCACCUCCCUUCCACGAGCCAACCGACCAUCCAACCAACCCACCCACUCACCCAGAUGCCAACCGAUCGACCAACCCAUCCACUCACCCAGACGUCAACGGACCAACAGAUCUACCAACGACCCAUCCACUUUCCCAGACGCCAACCGACCAACCAAUCUACCAACCAACCAUCCACUCUCUCAAACGCCAACCGACCAACCCAUCCACUCACCCAGAUGCCAACCUACCAACCGAUCUACCAACUAACCCAUCCGCUCACCCAGAUGCCAACCGACCAACCAACUGACCGAUCCAUCCACUCACCCAGCCGAUAACUAACCAACCUGCCCAUCCACCCACCCACCAAAUCAAUCAACAGACCCAGCGAGGAGAAGGAACGGAAAGAAGAGAAAGAGGAGGAGGGAGGGAAGGAGGAGAAAAAGGAUGAGAGGAAGAAGCUAACAAUUGGGGAAAAGAAAGACGUGACUUCCCCCGUCCCACUUCUUCCCCAGCCUCGAGGCGGGCUGCAAAAGUUUCCCUCUGAACAGUGUGACUCUUGAAACACGAACUCACACGGGGUGUGACUACCACCGUUCUUUGAAAGAUUUCAACAUUCUUUUCUUUCCUAAAGUAAAAAAGCGAGACCCAGGGGGAGGAUCUCUAUAUCUUUAUUCCUUAUGGUUGUGAUUAAAAAUAAAGAACGACAGAAACGAACCAGAGGCUGGCUUUGGGAGGACGCUACCUGCGAGGUGCUUGGUUUCUUCCACCGCCUGAAAGGGCCUCAGUUCUAACAGAAAAUUACUCGCUUCAGGAUCACUGAAAGGAGAAGUGAAGCCUUGGCUCUCCGGUUCGAAGUACAGUCCUACGGAGCCCUCCCUUCCCCUUCACGAUGGAAUAUUUUUAAUAUUCAUCAGCUCUAUUUUCCCCAAAUCGUUCUUUUGU